rnacentral:rRNA from 1 species
AGGACGAACGCUGGCGGCGUGCUUAACACAUGCAAGUCGAGCGGAAAGGCCCUUCGGGGUACUCGAGCGGCGAACGGGUGAGUAACACGUGAGUAAUCUGCCCCUAGCUCUGGGAUAGCUCCGGGAAACCGGAUUAAUACCGGAUACGACCACCUUAGACAUCUUUUGUGGUGGAAAGAAUUUCGGCUAGGGAUGAGCUCGCGGCCUAUCAGCUUGUUGGUGGGGUAACGGCCUACCAAGGCGACGACGGGUA